rnacentral:misc_RNA from 1 species
GAUGAAGAACGUAGCGAAAUGCGAUACGUAAUGUGAAUUGCAGAAUUCAGUGAAUCAUCGAAUCUUUGAACGCAUAUUGCGCUCUCUGGUAUUCCGGAGAGCAUGCUUGUUUGAGUAUCAGUAAACAACUCAACUCCCUUUUCUUUUUUGAAAUUGGAGCUGGACUUGAGUGAUCCCAACGCUUUCUUCCAAGAAAGUGGCGGGUUGCUUGAAAUGCAGGUGCAGCUGAACUUUUCUCUGAGCUAUAAGCAUAUCUAUUUAGUCUGCCUAAAAAACAGAUUAUUACCUUUGCUGCAGCUAACAUAAAGGAGACUAGUUCUUGUGCUGACUGAUGCAGGAUUCACAGAGACAGCUUCGGCUGACUUUGUAAACUCGAUCUCAAAUCAAGUAAGACUACCCGCUGAACUUAAGCAUAUCAAUAAGCGGAGGA